rnacentral:rRNA from 1 species
UACGAAGGGGGCUAGCGUUGCUCGGAAUCACUGGGCGUAAAGCGCACGUAGGCGGAUCUUUAAGUCAGGGGUGAAAUCCUGGAGCUCAACUCCAGAACUGCCUUUGAUACUGGGGAUCUCGAGUCCGGAAGAGGUGGAGUGGAACUCCGAGUGUAGAGGUGAAAUUCGUAGAUAUUCGGAAGAACACCAGUGGCGAAGGCGGCUCACUGGCCCGGUACUGACGCUGAGGUGCGAAAGCGUGGGGAGCAAACAGG